UGAUUCAUUAUUUUCUGAUACUAAAAUGCCAGUGUAGAAGCUGGCAUAAAAUUUAACUCUAUAAUAUGUGUGUAUAUUUUUUUUCUAUUUCUCCCCUGAAAUCUGUAUUUUACAUCUGUCUUUUAUAGGGAGAUAAAAAAUUAAGGUGUGACUCUGCUGACCUUCGGCAUGACAUUGAUCGCCGUAGAAAAGAAAGAAGUAAAGAGCGGGGAGAUUCCAAGGGCUCCAGGGAAUCCAGUGGAUCAAGAAAGCAGGAAAAAACUCCAAAAGAUUACAAGGAAUACAAAUCUUACAAAGAUGACAGCAAAAAUGUAUUUGUCUUUUACACGGCUUAUGGUGGAUGAGGACAAAAACUUUGGAAUAGCAAGCUAACACUGAAAAAAAAAAUGACAAAUUAAUGUGUCCUAUUAUCCAGGCUACAUCAGGAGGUUGGACUUCAAUGCAGUGCAUUUCUAGAAACAGUUUGUGUAAGAACUUUGGUUCGUUAUGCUUGAUUCCGCACUUUUUCAACUCAUAACA
rnacentral:sRNA from 1 species